GACGAACGCUGGCGGCGUGCUUAACACAUGCAAGUCGAGCGGUAAGGCCCUUUCGGGGGUACACGAGCGGCGAACGGGUGAGUAACACGUGGGUGACCUGCCCUCAGCUCUGGGAUAAGCCCGGGAAACUGGGUCUAAUACCGGAUAUGACUUCAUGACGCAUGUUGUGGAGUGGAAAGCCUUGUGCGGCUGAGGAUGGGCCCGCGGCCUAUCAGCUUGUUGGUGGGGUGAGGCCUACCAAGGCGACGACGGGUAGCCGGCCUGAGAGGGCGACCGGCCACACUGGGACUGAGAUACGGGCCCAGACUCCACGGGAGGCAGCAGUGGGGAAUCUUGCGCAAUGGGCGAAAGCCUGACGCAGCGACGCCGCGUG
rnacentral:rRNA from 1 species